CGGUUAACGAGGGGCUCGAACCCACUACCCUGAGAUUAAGAGUCUUAUGCUCUACCGACUGAGCUAGCC